CAUUUCCAGAUUUUCGUAGAAGUGACGCCCACUCCAACUAUUUAUAUUUUAAUGGAUAUCACUCGUCAAUCAUUCCAUCUCGAAAGCCCGCAGUAUCUGCCUGUCCAUGACAAGAACCGAAUGCGCGGGUAAUAAAUAGUAGCCGAGAAGGGCAGCGAAAAUUCGACACUGGCCUUCCUCUGUGCAGUACUCAGCAAUGCCAUUCAGUAUUCCUCCAGCACACGCCACUCAACGUAUUGCCAAAUCCGCCGCGCCGCUUCGUUGCCAUGGUGACUUGCUCGCCUCAAGAAGAUGUCUUGAGAUCAACUUGUUUGUGCUAUGAUCUGCCUUCACAUUGAUGAUCUGCUUGUGCAGAUAAUCACCUUUCACAUCAGAUACAUGUAUAAGUUGCUAAUCGUGAUGAUUACUGGA